UUUUGAUUCAAGUGGGUCACCAACGUGGUAAGUGUAACACAACUCUUUUUUUGUUAGUCAUUUUUUGUUAAAUCACAUAAAUAGUAACUCUUCCAUUUCAGAGCCUGGAUUUCCCCCUGAGGCUAAUAUCCAUAUCAUGUUGAAAUCAAUAGAACAGGGGACAAACGUUUAGGGUUCUACAUUGUGACAUCAUUAAAAUACUCCUUCUACAAUGUUAAAACUUUCUACAUUGUGACAUUAAUUCAUAGAUAUCAUGAAACAACUUCUUCAUGUAUGUAUUUUCUGAUAUUUGAUCAGAGAUUUUUUUUAUCAGAUUAUCUCUGGUCACAGCUAUAAGAUUUCUCUCCUGUGUGCAGUAAGAUAGGUAGAUGCCGCAAAACCCUUCCCACAUUGACCACAGCUAUAAGGUUUCUCUCCUGUGUGUAUUUUCUGGUGUAGAGUAAUAUUGCUAGAUGCAGCAAAACCCUUCCCACAUUGACCACAGAUAUAAGGUUUCUCUCCUGUGUGUAUUCUCUGGUGCACUGUCAGAGAUGUAGAUUGAACAAAACUCUUCCCACAUUGAGUACAGCUAUAAGGUCUCUCUCCUGUGUGAAUUCUCUGAUGAAUUUUAAUGCCUGAGGAGGUGAAUCUCUUCCCACAGUCAGAGCAGCAGUGAGAUUUCUUCCCUGUGGUUCUCUGCAGGUGUUUAUUGAGGUGUUCUGAUCUGGAGAGACUCUUCUCUGCCUCUUCAGCAUCAAGAGGUUGUUGAGACUCCCCAGAGGAUCCACAACUGUCCCGCCUCUCUCCUGUGUGAACAACAAAGACAGACAGAUGGUUAAAGGCCCACAACAGCAGAAAUCCACUGUAAAAGUGUUGCC
rnacentral:lncRNA from 1 species